rnacentral:tRNA from 1 species
GGAGAGGCUGUGGCCCAGGGGCAGGGCAUCUACUUGGCAUGCAGAAGGUCCCAGGUUCAAUCCUCGGUAUCUCCG